GUGCCAGCAGCCGCGGUACUACGGGGGGUGCAAGCGUUGUUCGGAAUUAUUGGGCGUAAAGAGCGUGUAGGCGGCUUGGUAAGUCAGAUGUGAAAGCCCUGGGCUUAACCCAGGAAGUGCAUUUGAAACUGCUAGGCUAGAGUAGGGGAGAGGGAAGUGGAAUUCCUGGUGUAGAGGUGAAAUUCGUAGAUAUCAGGAGGAACACCGGUGGCGAAGGCGACUUCCUGGCCCUAUACUGACGCUGAGACGCGAGAGCGUGGGUAGCAAACAGGAUUAGAUACCCUAGUAGUCC
rnacentral:rRNA from 1 species